CACGGGGGGCGCAAGCGUUGUUCGGAAUCACUGGGUUUAAAGGGUGCGUAGGUGGGCAAGUAAGUCAGUGGUGAAAUCUCCGGGCUUAACCCGGAAACUGCCAUUGAUACUAUUUGUCUUGAAUACUGUGGAGGUCAGCGGAAUAUGUCAUGUAGCGGUGAAAUGCUUAGAUAUGACAUAGAACACCAAUUGCGAAGGCAGCUGGCUACACAAAUAUUGACACUGAGGCACGAAAGCGUGGGGAUCAAACAGG
rnacentral:rRNA from 1 species